CUGUGUCUGCCCACGCUGCCACAGCCAUCCCAGAAUCACACGUGGAUGGCUUCAUUUCCCACCUGGGCCUGGGGGCCAAGGAUGCCUAAUUCCUGGAGCGGAGAUGGGCUGAGCCUAGAGAGCCCACCUGGGCUGACGGCUCUGGAAACACAUCAGUCAUGCUGAGCUGUGGGGACCAAGGGGGUGCCGGGAGAGAACGUGGCGCCGGAAACGGAAACGUCUGUGCAGACCAAUGGGGUGCCGAGAGAGAACGCUGACUCCGGAAACGUCCUGGCUGUCUGGGGAGGUGAGUCGCUUCACAGGAAGCGUCCCCCGGUGGCCAUGACCCCAGUGGCCAUGUGGCUGAGGCCCUGGGCAGUGGCUUCGUGACCGAAAGGCCCUGAACCCACCCCGAGGCCCCACAGCUUUUUCUCCAGCUCAGACACUUUCUGGGGCUCAGUCUUGCUGCGGCCCUUGUGGCAUUUGGCAGGCAGUGGGUGGACCAUGAGUGAGUUAGGAGGCCGAACUGCCCACCUCUACAAUGGGUUCCCAGGAGAGCGAACACGGGACCCGCUCCUCCAGGCCUCAGCCCCACUCUGGAAUGAGUUCAACAGCAAGGUACGGUGAGAGCUGGCGGCUUCAUUUUUGGAACCAGGGAGAGAGAGAGAGAGAGAGGUUUAUGAGAGACCUCAUGAGACAGCUCAUGAUGGAAGUGAGACUGAGUUGCAGUGAACCCUGUCACUGAAGAGACAGCCUUCACACUGUGUCUUGCAGGGGAAAAUACAACUCUUUAUUAAAAUUUAUUGCCCUGAAAAAUGGGCAGUGUUACUUACUUAUUCUGGGUAAAGUGGGUUGCAGGUGGCAGGGCUGAGCCUUGGGAGGGCAACCCUGUCCACAGGCCAGAGGCCCCUCUGUGCAAAGGAGCAGGUGAGCCUGGGGACCUGCCACCUCCCCAUGCCUGUCAUGGUUGCCACCCUGCCCAGUUCAGGGUGUCUCCUCACCAAGAGUCAGGGUCACGGGAGGAUGAACCCAGCUCCUGGUCCCACAGAUUUGGGCUCAGUUCUAGCGUCCCCUCUCCCUAGCUGUGUGUCUUCAGCGGCCCCUGCCCACUGAGCUCAGCCCCCACCUGCAAUGAAGAGGUGACAGCAGCUGCCACCACCACCCCCAAGUCCAGAUUUCUCCCCAUCCCCAGCCUGGCCAGGCCUUCCUGCCCUGCAGAUGGCUGUAAGGACGGCAUGGCAUCCAAGCCCAGGGCUUGGAGCCCACAGAGUCCCUGGCUUCCCUCAGGGACCCCAGGGGAACUGCAGCACCACAUGGGCAAGAUCUGGGCUUUGGCCACCCCCUUAAGAGAGAGGACCACCUGGCCCACUCGUGUCUGGGAGGAGGCUGCCAGCCAAGGGAGAGCCUGGGCAGUAGCCUUGGGGAAAGGUGGGCAGGUGGCUCUCCCACCCAGGGAAGGGCCGGCAUCUGGGCCAUCCUUAUGGCCUGCAAAGCCCUGGACACCUCCCCUGCCCUCUGCAGGCAGCAAAGCCUUUGGCAUCUGAGACCUGGGCAGGAGGAAGAGAAAUGGGUGUGAGAAGAAGGGGAGGCUGGUGGAAUGGGGGCAUCUGCUCAAGGCUCAUCCCAGGACCUCAGAAGGGAAGUGGGGAGAAAACAGUUCCUCGUGAGGCAGCCCCUUUCCACUGGCCCUGCAGCUGCACAUCAGACCCAGCCUCUGCCUGCCCCUCCCUGUGUCCAGCAGAGCUGACCUCUGAGCCAAGCCUGCAGUCAGCUUGUCUAGGGUGACGAUGCGGCUACGUGAGGGUGCCGGUGGCUCCUGUCAACCUUAAAAAGAUCAGGAAAUAUGGAAUAUGGUUAAAUGUAAUUUAUUUGCACACAAUGCUUGAGAAAGGCCACCUGGGUACACAGAUUCCAAAGAAUGGAAGUUGGUGCUCCCAAGUGGAGAGGUUUAGGGGUCAUUUAUAUAGAUAACGUCUGGGAAGCUUAGUGGGGCUUCAACACUGUCCACACAGGCCCACACAUCCAGUUAGGUGGGGCUGUGUUCCUUUCGGGAGAGGCAUAUUGAACACAGAGGGUAGAAGAGUCAUGGGGUCUUCUGUGCCUUCUGGUCUGAGUUGGGUGCAAGAUAAUACAGAAAGGUCCACAACCGGGAGAGGAGGAGGGCUUCUCUCUCAUGUCAUUGACUAUUAAUUGUGAACCUCAAAAACCUGAGACAGGUCUCAGUUAAUUUAGAAAGUUUAUUUUGCCAAGGUUGAGGACACACACCCAUGAUACAGGCUCAGGAGGUCCUGACGACAUGUGCCCAAGGUGGUCAGACCACAGUUUGGUUUUAUACAUUUUAGGGAGACAUGAGACAUCAACCAACAUGUGCAAGAUGAACAUUGGUUCGGUCUGGAAAGGCGGGACAACUGGAAGCAGGGAGGGGACUUCCAGGUCUUAGGUAGAUAAUAGACAAAUGGUUACAUUCUUUUGAGUUUCUGAUUAGCCUUUCCAAAGGAGGCAAUCAGAUAUGCAUCUAUCUCAGUGAGCAGAGGGAUGACUUUGAAUAAAAUGGGAGGCAGGUUUGCCCGAAGCAGUUCCCAGCUUGACUUUUCCUUUUAGCUUAGUGAUUUUGGGGCCCCAAGAUAUGUUCCUUUCACAUUUUCCCCCUUUUCUUUUUUAAAAUCUUUUGGAGAAAGCAUCUUAGAAGAAAAUGAGUCUCUGGUCUCAGGUUUUUGUCUGGUCUUUCAUGGCUAGGAUGUUUUAUUCCUGUACAGUUAGGUCCGGAAUUAUUAGAAAAGCUCAUUUUUAGAAGGUUGUGAAAUCUCUUGUCCUAUGAAAAGAAAAUAGGGGGAAGAAGGGAGAAAAACAACAACAAACAAAAGAACAAUCUGGGAAAAAUCAAUAUAGGCCACAUUACUCUGAAGCCCAUACAUUAGUAGGCAGGUAUGAAAGUGGCGUAAAUAGUUGCUGUUGUUUUCUUCUGAAGUUUAAGUUGCCUGGCUUCAGUUCACAGGGCUUUAUGAAAGCACAGCUUAGUUUUCAGUGACUCCAAAUCAGGAAAAAUGGGGGGAAAAUACAGAAGAAAAAAUCGAAAACAUUAUUUUGAAGCGUUGUAGCCAAGAAAAAUUAGAAUUCAGUCAAAACUGUAGAAAAUAAUAAAAAUUGUAAAACAUUAGGUAAGACUAGAGUCUAACAACAGGUGUAUUAUAGGUUUUGCCCAUAAUUUUUCUUUCUCCAGUUUCCCAUUUUUAAUAAACACAAAUCAUGGCAGGACUAGUUUGCUUUAUUAUACUUGGCCUAAUUAUUUGUAUUCAGUGCAGCAAGAAUAAUUAUUUUUUACAUAGGCUUUUUUUUUUGAUGGAGUUUUCCUUUGUCACCCAGGCUGGAGUGCACUGACAUGAACUCAGCUCACUGCAACUUCCGCCACCCAGGUUCAAGUGAUUCUCCUGCCUCAGCCUCCUGAGUACCUGGGAUUACAGGUGCAUGCCACCACACCUGGCUAAUUUUUGUAUUUUUAGUAGAGAUGGGGUUUUACCAUGUUGGCCAGGCUCAUCUCCAACUCCUGACCUCAGGUGAUCCACCCACUUCGGCCUCCCAAAGUGCUGGGAUUACAGGCAUGAGCCACCAUGCCCAGCCUACAUAGGCUUUUAAAUUGGCUUUGAUGGAACUCUGUCUCAAAUAAGACUUUUUUAAAGCUGAGUGCAGCCAUGGAUUCAUAUCACCAAAUAUCUAUGAGUUGGGGGAUCCUCUUCUCUUGAGGUUCCAAGAUAAAACUUGGGGCUGGUGGGCCUGUCAGAAAGUGACAUUCUUUACUUACCACAGGUCAGGAACCCUGUACAGGGGCUGUGUAGACAAACAUGAGGCCAGUUUUCCCAAGGGGCUUUUAUUGGCUCUGUAAGUCAAGUUUGAUUCCUUAAAGGAAAGCACACCAUUCCAGUCAAAGCCUUGGUAAAGUAACCAGUUUCUCCAAGUGUGUCCUCUUAUACAUAAAAAGAGAUUCUUAUUGUACUUAUGUAAAUAACUGUAUUGCCACAAAUAGCUUCCAAAUUCUGGAGAAAUCAGGUAGAGGAAAAAGAAAUAUGUUAUAAAUUUUGUUCAUAGGAAUAUACUAAAUUGUUAAAUGCUGUUAAUCACUCAAAAGAAAAGUUUCCCUGGUUCUGAAAAAGCAAAACAAAUGAUUAACAACAUUUUAAGUGAAAAGUCAAAAUGAUUACUUCAGUCUUGUAAUAGUUCAGUUGCUGUAGUUAAUUCCUGUUCUGCUUGAUAUUCCUGAACAUUUCAGUUCUCCAUAGGUCCUGAAAGUUUUCCUUUUAUUCUGAUGUCACCAUCUCCAAAGCUAUUAAAAACUUGUAUGCAAGAACAGCUGUUGCAGUUUUAUAGCUUUUUUACAAAAUCACCUUCUAAGAAGGACCAAAAUAAGACAACAAUUGUCUGUGAAUGACAAAAGGUUUUAGGGCAGCCACAGUCAAAAGCACCAUUGACAAGAAAAUUUGUUACCUCUGUGGCACAUGAUAAUUUAACAUAAUAAUUAUAAUUAUUACUGAUAAUGUACACUAAGUCUUAUCAGAAUUAUAGAAGUUUCCUAUGAUUUGGGAACACAUACCAAUAACAUAUUUAUACAAACACAGCCCAAAGAAACCCAAACACCAUUUCAUAUUUGACAACACUUCCUAUAUAAUUUUUAUACCAAAUAAGACAAAUUAUGUCAUUUUUGGACUGUAUGGAACUUAAUAUAUUAAAGGAUUAAUUAGGUCAGAAAAAGACAUAAUUUAUAAUUUGAUUUUGGAAAGUUUGUCAAAUGUCAAAGGUUUAAAACACUUGAUAUCACAGGUUAUUGUACAAUAAGUCAUUCAUUUAACCAAAGUGCUAACUCGAUUUCAAAAAAGGUGAAAACCUUCCUUCUUUCAGAGAAAACUUAAUAUUCCAAACAAUAAACCCUAAUAAAAACAACAGGAAGCCAAUUACAUUUGUUUUUCAAAAUUUUAUAAACAACUUAUAAAAUUUUAAUCUUGACCAUAAGAUAGAAUUUUCAUAAGCCUUUUAUAAACUUUAUAGCCUUAAUUUAUUAAGGAGUUAGUUAAUGCUUCCAGAAAACCUUGUUAAUCUGACACAGGGGUCCAUGUGCUGGUCUUGCAUCAGUGUACUUUUGACAUUAAUGAUUUAUUUAUAGAGAAACUGAACUUAUUUUAUCUCUCAAAAUCAGCCCUUAUAAUCUCACACACCCACCUCUUCAUGAUAGUCCCUGGGCCUUGAGGAGUUGAAUAGCUUUAAUUUCUAGCCCUAUGUCUCAGGAAUGCAGUUUAUUUUGAAUGGCAUCUUCUACUGGAUCUGAAGAUGGAGAUUUAGUUCCUGUCAGUGUUUAAAAUUUAGCAGGACUUGGUGUUCUUUUUAGAUCCAGGAGUCAAAGCCCUGAAACUCAAUGUCACAAGUACUUUAAAUGCGCACACAGAGAGAUACAUGGAUGUAAUAAAUUUAAUUUUAAAAAACAUUAAUCUCAUUUUUUUCUAAGCAAACCAAAACAAUAAUAGUGUAACAACUUGAUUGCAUAAAAGUUUUUGGUUUUUAAAAAAAUACACCCUCUUAGGCUGGGCACGAUGGCUCAUGCCUGCAAUCCUAGCACUUUGGGAGGCCGAGAUGGGCGG
rnacentral:lncRNA from 1 species